ensembl:lncRNA
GGGCAAACGUAGGGAGCAGCCAAGACUCCUGGGACAGAGAGCCCGAGGAAGAGCUACUCCUCAGGGCUAAGUCCAGACCUUGUUGGAGACAGCGUGGCCCCGGCGCAGUGCCCGGCAGAGAAGUCCCUGUGGAGAACUUGCUGGAAUAUGCCUUCCAGGGGUGCCAGGGAAGUUGUGCACAGGGAGGUGGCUUGCUGAAGGCACUGCAUGAUGAGACUUCCCCAGGAGGGCGUCAAGGGAACUGCUGGCUUCCAGACACUGCUGGCCACCAUGCUUCCACGAGCACAGGCCGGCUGCAGGAAGCUGUCCAUGAGGGGGCAUUCUGCUUUGUCCCUCCAGGGCUGCAGUGGGAGGCUGCCUCAUUCUGGGAAUCAGCAUAGGAUUACCUACACGUACAAUCCGUGCUUUAAAAUAUCAGCUUAAUUAAUUACAGUCCACUUUGCUAACUAUUUUGACUCAUAGGUCAGAACUUGGAUGGGAAAAAGAGGCGCCAUUGCUCAGACCUCUCAUGCCCAGCACUUACUAGAAAGGAGGGAAGAAAUUGGAAUACCUCUGCUCCCCGGGCGCCUGCCCUGGGGUCAGCAGUAGAGGUUCUCCUGUUCCUGCUCCCACCCCCCAAGUCCUCCCUAAGCCCUACAACUAGUCCUCUCAGGGAGGCUUAUCCUAAAAAAAGUCAAUUUGAUAGCAAUCAUUUCACAUGCUUGGGUAACCCAGAUCUCCCUCAGGGGUCUUUGCAUUCAUCAACAAAUAGUUCCAGGAGAUGCUGCUUUGGGAGCCUUUUCCCUAUGGCCAAAAGCAAAAGCCAGGCCUGUAUCAAGUUCAGGCCACAGCAGGAAGUUGGCCAGUGGGAAAAACACCGUAACCUUGUCUGAUGUAGAAAAAGACAGAACUUGUUGUGCCACAUUCUUAACCUGGAAGAGGGUCAGCUGAGUGAGCCCUUCUAACCUGAAGAACAGUUAACUCCUCCAUGUGACUUAGAGAAAGUCAAGUUCAUUCUUUUCUUGUUAUUUUUUUGGUGUCUGGGCCAGAUAAGUCAUGCUAGAAAUGUUCAGGAUCCUUAAUCAACAGUGUAUUAAUUAGUGAGGAUAAGUCUAAGCUACUGUGACCAAAAUGAUCAAGGCUUCCACAGGGUGAAGGUUUACGCAUUUGUUCUUCACACAGAAGUCUGAGCAGCAAGUUCAGGGCUGGUGUGGGGGCUCCUGUAUCAUUUGGGACCUGGAUUCCUUCCAUUAUGAGCCUCUUCCUUUUAGUUUUAUCUCAUAGGCCAAGAUCUCUGCACCAGCUCCUGCUGGAGCAGCCAGUGGGAAGGAGGAAAAGAGAGGGCAAGACAUGAUCCCUCCAUCUAAAGACACAAGCCACGAUUGAACGUUUCGACCCCUUGCCUCUACUCUACAGAAAACAGUCAGGUGGCCACAUCCAAAUGUAUGAGAGGAUGAAAAUAUGCCUACCUAAAAAUUCUACGUAGGAGAGGGAGAACAGAUGUUGGAAAACAAUAAUCAGUUUUCUGCACACUGAAUGUCCACCUUUAAGUUCCUCUAUUACAUCAAUUAUACCAUGACAUCUGCCCCAAGGAAAACAAAUAGAAAAAAAAAAAA